UACGUAGGGUGCGAGCGUUGUCCGGAAUUAUUGGGCGUAAAGGGCUCGUAGGCGGUUUGUCGCGUCGGGAGUGAAAACCUUGGGCUUAACUCAGGGCUUGCUUUCGAUACGGGCAGACUAGAGGUAUGCAGGGGAGAACGGAAUUCCUGGUGUAGCGGUGAAAUGCGCAGAUAUCAGGAGGAACACCAAUGGCGAAGGCAGCACUCUGGGACGUGACUGACGCUGAGACGCGAAAGCGUGGGGAGCGAACGGG
rnacentral:rRNA from 1 species